CUAAUACAGACCUACUGAUAAAAAUAGGCUGAAUGUGAAGUGUGGGCACGAGCCAAACUAAAGCUCUCAUGCUUUAAAGAGUGUAAACUGUGGCGCUCGCUUUGGCAGCACAAAUACUAAAACUGGAAUGAUACAGAGACUAGCAUGGCCCCCGUGGAAGCACCACACGCAAAUUCGCUAAGCAUUCCGUAUUUUUUUUUAAAAAAAGAAAGAAAAAAGGUGUAAACUAUGGGAAAAGAUGGUAUAUGCAAAUAAUAAUUAAAAGAGAUCUGAGUUAGACAUACUAUGGCCUUCCAUAUCUAUUUGUGCACCCACAAAUUCAACCAGCUACAGACUUAUGUACAAUACUUACUGAUUCAUUUUGUGUAGUUUCUGUUUUUCUAUUAUCAAGAUUCCCCAUCCCCACCAGCUCCUUCCUGCCUCAUAAAUUGUCCUUUAAAUGCCAGCCGCCUGGACUGCAGACCAGUCAGUACACCAAGACCACUGGGCUCAUUUGGGUCUCUUUCCCGCACUGCAGCCUGCAAACUGCUUCCAGUGAGUGUGUUUGAGCAGUAGGAAAACUCUCAGGGACCACAGUAUAGGGACACCUAUUUUCUGAUAUUUGAGAAACAAUUUUUAAAUACUUUUGUCCAAUUUUUUAAUUGUUUAAAGGAGAAAUGCAAGACCCGUUUCUCCUUCUGUAUUAAUAGGAUGGAGAUGUAAUAUCUACUUACAAUAUUCAAUUAAGUUACAAAUAUUUAAAUUACAUAUUAGAUUAUUUGAGAAUAUUUUAGAGAACUGGAAAAUUUACAACAGUAACAAAAGCACUAAAGUCAAAGAUGCCUGCAGGAGCUUAAAGACAAUCACUUCAUGUAGCAUGAGAAAAGACAGUAUUCUCUUCAUUUAUUCUUAGACAUCGUAACUUGCAUGCUUUCAUUCCUCUUCUAUAUUAUUUAGAAAGAGUAAUUCAGUUUGCCCAGUUGUUUAGAAUCCUGGUUGGGUGUCAGAUCUUUAAUAACUUAACUUGUUUUGUCAUUUUAUUGAAUUAGGAAAAAAAAUAUCCGCUUGCCAUUUUGGAUCCUAGUUUAGAAUCUAUGAAGAAGUGCUCAGUUUCUUUGUGGCUCUGAGGUUCCUCAGAUAAUAUCAAAUUGUACCCAGCUUGAACAAUUUCCUGUGAUUCACAGAAUCAUUUUUGUUCUGUCCCUAAGGAUACAAAUUGGAAGUAAAGCGAUAAAACUUGGAGGCAAUGCAAUAAAGCCUCCCUGGGAAGCCUGAGACUCUUGGAUUAAGCGGUUGAAAACCAGCCGACAAAUAACAGCAUCAGUUCUGAGGAAAAUUAGAGCUCAGUGCCUUCAAAGCUGAUGCAAUGGAGAGGUCCAGCAACUUCACUCCCUGGCUUGAAAAGAAGGCCUCUGACUACAUUCCUGCCCUCAGGGCCAGGCCCAGCUGUCCUUCCCAGGCCUGACGUUCUUUCCGAGCAGGACAAGGGCCACAGGGCAAUGGCCCAGCGCUCACACCGACCAGAGCCUCCCGCCUGGCCUGUCCCCAUCUGGUGUUCAUCUUCACAGGCAAGAAAUGUUCCUGUGUGCAGAGCCAAGAGGUUACAAAGAAAAAAUACUUAAAGAUGAUUUUAACAAAUGACAUUUCCCGAGGCUUUUAAAAUUUGUUUUCUUGUGGGCUUUCUUUGCCUUUUUUUUUUUUUUUUUGGUACUGGGGAUCGAACUCAUGGCUGCACACUUGCAAGGCAGGCACUUAUGCCACUGAGCUAAUUCCCUAGGCCAUCUUUGCCCAUUUUUAAGGGCCCGGGCUCCCGGAGCCAUGAUGUUCGUACCAUUCUCUCUCUUCUGUUAGCAGCCAGACCAGCCUGAGAAGAUUCCUGAAAGUCUUUCCUUUGCAGCUUAAUGUCUCUCAGGCUAUUUUAUACUGACUGAUGUCGUGUGACUUAGGUCAGAUAGAGCCCGGCCCUUAGCUCCUUGUGGGUCAGCAGUGUUCUGCAAGAAGGGAGCCCAGGGCUGUGGUCUCUUGGGCACAGGCAGAAUAAAUCAGUCCCCUUCCCCACAUCUCAGAUUUUCUCUCAUGAAGCAUAGGUUGGUGGAGAGUACCAGCUGCUGGAGGUUAACUCCCAGGUGUAAAUCUGACAUCUUACAAAGCGUCUGCACCCAUCACCGUGAGUGAGCUGAGCCUUUGAGAGGGCGGAGGUUGGAACCCACAACACCACCACUUGGUACUACUGUUAUCAACCCGCCAUUCAGAGCUUCUCAGAGGUGUGAACUCAGGCUUAUAUAAGGCCCCAGUGUUGCCAGGCACAGUGGCUAGCCAGAGAGGGGUCGCUUGAUGGUUAAACAAAUUAAUCUAGAAAGAGAAUACUUCAGGCUGUAGCUUCUCGUUGGCUUUUUUAACCAAAAGUGAGCAGAACUCAGGAAAAAUGAUAAGCAGUAGGAAAAAGAAUAUUUUAACUUUGUGAUUACUUCAAAUAGAUUUUUAUUGCUUUUUGUCUUCCCAAAGUAAGCUCUUCAUCCUUUCCAAUCUUUGAUGUCUAGAAGUACCGAGCAUUCCUAAGGACAGUGGAGCACUUGCCCAUAAGUAAAAAUCCAGGAAAACAACUUCCUUUGCUUUGGUCUUCCUGAAUACUGUGCAUACUCAAGGGAGGUGGCUGCAUUUGCCCUCGUGUUGUGCGAGUUUGGUUUAAAUAGAAAUUAAACACCAGACCAAAUCUGUCCUUUGUGUAAGAAACCUAAAGACUCUGAGAAGGUUGGAGGCCAGGUUACAUUCAAUCGUUCACCUCCCUGUGCUGUCUAGGAGACGCCAACAGUGCCCUAUUCUUGCAGGACGUCAGGCCUAAGAUUCCUGUAGCCUGUGUCCUAACAGCCUUGCUCCUGGCCUGUAGCCCCAACUCUUGUCUCCUUAAACUAGGACAGUGCCUAAUACAGAGUGCAUGUCCAAUAAAUCCAGGAUGAGCCCUCAGAAUUUACAAAGUGCCUGCUCUGUGCCAGCCUACACCUCACCCUCUCUGUUCUCACAAGGAUCCUAGACUGUGAUGAUCAGUCCCACUCUCCGGAUGAGGAACUUGGUGUUUACAACACGCAGCUCUCAGGCAGAGCAGGGAUCUGGACUGGCCUCUGCCUCUGAGCGCACGUGGUCACUUUCACAAGACUGGACGUGUACAUUCCAUCCAGUCCUCCGAGGGACUGAGGGGUGAGAUGGAGAACUGGGAGCAACAGACUUGAGAAGAAGCUGGGCUGAGGGUACAGAGCAGAGUGCCCACCAGAAGGCGGAGCUUCGGCGUGACCCUGCGCCCUGGAUCUUUUCCAGCCUCCGGGUUUUUAAAUCACAUAAGCAAGGCAGUCUUCUUACCCUAAGUCUUUUGGACUGACCGUCUGCUGUGUGACUCCGGAAGCACCCAGCAAGCUGGGCAUGGGGGCCUUCACACUCUAUCUCUUCUGUUUACUAAUUAUUUGCAAAUUGCUUAUUUUCUCCAGGAUAAUAUUUUAAUAAAAGUUGAAUCGAUAUUAUGACACACCAGUUAGAAAUUAAACUAUGAGCAGAUCGA